CAGCCUUUGGAGUGGCCAGGAGCAAGAGCUGUCACUUUACAGCGCCAAACAAGUCAUAUCAGGCCCAUCAACUGACCCAGGCAGCAAAUUCCUAUGAAUUUAUGAGGAAACAGGCUUCAGGAGAAGCUUUGAGGACUCAUGCAAAAUCAAUUAUCUCCAGCUUUCAGAGGGUGGGAAACAGCUGAAAACUUGCCACA